UACGUAGGUGGCAAGCGUUGUCCGGAUUUAUUGGGUUUAAAGGGUGCGUAGGCGGCUUUAUAAGUCAGUGCUGAAAUAUCCCGGCUUAACCGGGAGGGUGGCAUUGAUACUGUAGAGCUUGAGUAAAGUUGAGGUUGGCGGAAUUGACGGUGUAGCGGUGAAAUGCUUAGAUAUCGUCAAGAACACCGAUUGCGAAGGCAGCUAACUAAGCUUUAACUGACGCUGAGGCACGAAAGUGUGGGGAUCAAACAGG
rnacentral:rRNA from 1 species